GACGAACGCUGGCGGCGUGCUUAACACAUGCAAGUCGAACGGAAAGGCCCUGCUUUUGUGGGGUGCUCGAGUGGCGAACGGGUGAGUAACACGUGAGUAACCUGCCCUUGACUUUGGGAUAACUUCAGGAAACUGGGGCUAAUACCGGAUAGGAGCUCCUGCUGCAUGGUGGGGGUUGGAAAGUUUCGGCGGUUGGGGAUGGACUCGCGGCUUAUCAGCUUGUUGGUGGGGUAGUGGCUUACCAAGGCUUUGACGGGUAGCCGGCCUGAGAGGGUGACCGGCCACAUUGGGACUGAGAUACGGCCCAGACUCCUACGGGAGGCAGCAGUGGGGAAUAUUGCGCAAUGGGCGGAAGCCUGAUGCAGCAACGCCGCGUGCGGGAUGACGGCCUUCGGGUUGUAAACCGCUUUCGCCUGUGACGAAGCGUGAGUGACGGUAAUGGGUAAAGAAGCACCGGCUAACUACGUGCCAGCAGCCGCGGUGAUACGUAGGGUGCGAGCGUUGUCCGGAUUUAUUGGGCGUAAAGGGCUCGUAGGUGGUUGAUCGCGUCGGAAGUGUAAUCUUGGGGCUUAACCCUGAGCGUGCUUUCGAUACGGGUUGACUUGAGGAAGGUAGGGGAGAAUGGGAUUCCUGGUGGAGCGGUGGAAUGCGCAGAUAUCAGGAGGAACACCAGUGGCGAAGGCGGUUCUCUGGGCCUUUCCUGACGCUGAGGAGCGAAAGCGUGGGGAGCGAACAGGCUUAGAUACCCUGGUAGUCCACGCUGUAAACGGUGGGUACUAGGUGUGGGGUCCAUUCCACGGGUUCCGUGCCGUAGCUAACGCUUUAAGUACCCCGCCUGGGGAGUACGGCCGCAAGGCUAAAACUCAAAGGAAUUGACGGGGCCCCGCACAAGCGGCGGAGCAUGCGGAUUAAUUCGAUGCAACGCGUAGAACCUUACCUGGGUUUGACAUGGAUCGGGAGUGCUCAGAGAUGGGUGUGCCUCUUUUGGGGUCGGUUCACAGGUGGUGCAUGGCUGUCGUCAGCUCGUGUCGUGAGAUGUUGGGUUAAGUCCCGCAACGAGCGCAACCCUUGUUCACUGUUGCCAGCACGUUAUGGUGGGGACUCAGUGGAGACCGCCGGGGUCAACUCGGAGGAAGGUGGGGAUGACGUCAAGUCAUCAUGCCCCUUAUGUCCAGGGCUUCACGCAUGCUACAAUGGCUGGUACAGAGAGUGGCGAGCCUGUGAGGGUGAGCGAAUCUCGGAAAGCCGGUCUCAGUUCGGAUUGGGGUCUGCAACUCGACCUCAUGAAGUCGGAGUCGCUAGUAAUCGCAGAUCAGCAACGCUGCGGUGAAUACGUUCCCGGG
rnacentral:rRNA from 1 species